CAGCCAGCCAAUUUAUCUGCUUACCUGAAUGUGUUUCUGAGAAAUUUAGAAAAAGCUAGCAAAAGUGAUGCCAUGUUAUGGGCCUUAAGAACAACUGAGUUCAUUAAGGUCCCUGAAAAUGGCUACAAUA